UAAGCCUUAUUUCAAGAAGAAUAGCUGGUUGUUACCCAGCAGGUGGUUACAGUAGCCAGGCUUAA
rnacentral:tRNA from 1 species